GAGGGUGUAGCUCAGUGGUAGAGUACGUGUAAAAGGUUCUGGGUUCAAUUCCCUGUACCUCCA
rnacentral:tRNA from 1 species